rnacentral:rRNA from 1 species
GAUGAACGCUGGCGGCGUGCCUAAUACAUGCAAGUCGAGCGAACGGACGAGAAGCUUGCUUUUCUGAUGUUAGCGGCGGACGGGUGAGUAACACGUGGAUAACCUACCUAUAAGACUGGGAUAACUUCGGGAAACCGGAGCUAAUACCGGAUAAUAUUUUGAACCGCAUGGUUCAAAAGUGAAAGACGGUCUUGCUGUCACUUAUAGAUGGAUCCGCGCUGCAUUAGCUAGUUGGUAAGGUAACGGCUUACCAAGGCAACGAUGCAUAGCCGACCUGAGAGGGCGAUCGGCCACACUGGAACUGAGACACGGUCCAGACUCCUACGGGAGGCAGCAGUAGGGAAUCUUCCGCAAAGGGCGAAAGCCUGACGGAGCAACGCCGCGUGAGUGAUGAAGGUCUUCGGAUCGUAAAACUCUGUUAUUAGGGAAGAACAUAUGUGUAAGUAACUGUGCACAUCUUGACGGUACCUAAUCAGAAAGCCACGGCUAACUACGUG